GAGUUUGACCUGGCUCAGGAUGAACGCUAGCUACAGGCUUAACACAUGCAAGUCGAGGGGCAGCAUUAAAGUUUGCUUGCAAACUUUAGAUGGCGACCGGCGCACGGGUGAGUAACACGUAUCCAACCUGCCGAUAACUCGGGGAUAGCCUUUCGAAAGAAAGAUUAAUACCCGAUGGUAUAUUUUCACCGCAUGGUGAAACUAUUAAAGAAUUUCGGUUAUCGAUGGGGAUGCGUUCCAUUAGGCAGUUGGUGAGGUAACGGCUCACCAAACCUUCGAUGGAUAGGGGUUCUGAGAGGAAGGUCCCCCACAUUGGAACUGAGACACGGUCCAAACUCCUACGGGAGGCAGCAGUGAGGAAUAUUGGUCAAUGGGCGCGAGCCUGAACCAGCCAAGUAGCGUGAAGGAUGACGGCCCUAUGGGUUGUAAACUUCUUUUAUAUGGGAAUAAAGUUUGGUAUGUAUACCAUUUUGUAUGUACCAUAUGAAUAAGGAUCGGCUAACUCCGUGCC
rnacentral:rRNA from 1 species